CAGCAGCCGCGGUAAUACGUAGGGUGCAAGCGUUAAUCGGAAUUACUGGGCGUAAAGCGUGCGCAGGCGGUUUGUUAAGACAGAUGUGAAAUCCCCGGGCUCAACCUGGGAACUGCAUUUGUGACUGGCAAGCUAGAGUCUGGCAGAGGGGGGUGGAAUUCCGCGUGUAGCAGUGAAAUGCGUAGAUAUGCGGAGGAACACCGAUGGCGAAGGCAGCCCCCUGGGCCAACACUGACGCUCAUGCACGAAAGCGUGGGGAGCAAACAGGAUUAGAUACCCCAGUAGUCCCUGUCUCUCAUAC
rnacentral:rRNA from 1 species